rnacentral:rRNA from 1 species
GCAGCCGCGGUAAUUCCAGCUCCAAUAGCGUAUAUUAAAGUUGUUGCAGUUAAAAAGCUCGUAGUUGAAUUUCGGGGUUAGCAGGUCGGUCGUGCCAUCGGUAUGAACUGGUCUCGCUGAUCCCUCCCUCUUGAAGAACUGUGAUGCCAUUAAUUUGGUGUCGCAGGGAAUCAGGACUGUUACUUUGAAAAAAUUAGAGUGUUUAAAGCAGGCUCACGCUUGAAUACAUUAGCAUGGAAUAAUGAAAUAGGACGUUUGAUCCUAUUUUGUUGGUUUCUAGGAUUGACGUAAUGAUUAAUAGGGAUAGUUGGGGGCAUUAGUAUUCAAUUGUCAGAGGUGAAAUUCUUGGAUUUAUUGAAGACUAACUACUGCGAAAGCAUUUGCCAAGGAUGUUUUCAUUAAUCAAGAACGAAAGUUAGGGGAUCGAAGACGAUCAGAUACCGUCGUAGUCUUAACCAUAAACUAUGCCGACUAGGGAUCGGAUGAUGUUAAUUUUUUAAUGACUCAUUCGGCGCCUUACGGG